GAUGAACGCUGGCGGCGUGCCUAAUACAUGCAAGUCGAGCGAACAGACGAGGAGCUUGCUCCUCUGACGUUAGCGGCGGACGGGUGAGUAACACGUGGAUAACCUACCUAUAAGACUGGGAUAACUUCGGGAAACCGGAGCUAAUACCGGAUAAUAUAUUGAACCGCAUGGUUCAAUAGUGAAAGACGGUUUUGCUGUCACUUAUAGAUGGAUCCGCGCCGCAUUAGCUAGUUGGUAAGGUAACGGCUUACCAAGGCAACGAUGCGUAGCCGACCUGAGAGGGUGAUCGGCAACACUGGAACUGAGACACGGUCCAGCCUCCUACGGGAGGCAGCAGUAGGGAAUCUUCGGCAAUGGGCGAAGGCCUGCCGGAGCACCGCCGCGUGAGUGAUGAAGGUCUUCGGAUCGUAAAACUCUGUUAUUAGGGAAGACCAAAUGUGUAAGUAACUAUGCACGUCUUGACGGUACCUAAUCAGAAAGCCACGGCUAACUACGUG
rnacentral:rRNA from 1 species